AUGAGGGCGACCGGGUGCGGGGAGGGAGCGCGGAGCAUAAAUCGCGAGCCAAUGAACAAGAACCGCAUAGAAGGCGCUACCGAGCAGAGCGAGCGGGCAACAAACCGCGAAGCUCUCGUGACCGCGGUGAAGCGGCGCAAACGUGGCGGUUGUGCGGUGAAGGAAUGCGU
rfam:Paraburkholderia caryophylli strain Ballard 720 genome assembly, contig: Ga0139045_111